UGAUCUGUAUGGACUGCCCAGUUGGUUUCUUUCCUUGAUUUUGGUUGAGUUCAAACAAUGGAAGGCACAAGCAAGAGAUCUCAAAGUAGGAGGAAACUACAGCACAAGAACAUGAUGUGGGCUCAACUAAUUAGCUGCAUCCACUCAACUUUGCAUCAGGAACUAGUUACACAAAAGAGCAGGAGUGGUGAAGAAUCCACUCUGACAUUGGCAGCAACAUCCUAUCCCAUGGCCCUGGUGGGAGUGGAGCCAGUGUGGCAUAUGAUGUCUGGUGGCAGAGGCGGGUUGGCUGUGCAGGUGGUGGCAUCCAACAUUCACCACUGAUGGGAAUAGGAUCCUCAUGGCUCUAAGGUGCCUGAUCUCACUUGUGGUCUGUUGCUUAGUAUCCUUUGUACAUUUCCCCUUUUAGAAUGUGGUGCUUUAGCUUUCCUAGCAAUUCUCUUAACUAUAUAAAAUCCUUUCAAUAAAUUAAUGUUUGCCUAAA